rnacentral:rRNA from 1 species
AUGAUAAUUUACUUCAGUGGUACUAGAAGUGUACCUUUUUCAGCCGUGUACAUACCUGAAUACUUGCAUGAAUUACACGGGGUGCGGUGGAGAAGAAACGUAGAAAAAACUUACCGGAAGCAUGCACGUUGCACAGAGAAAAAGUUAGUUUUUAAAGUGCAUGAUAGAGAAGAGAGAGGGAGAGGGAGAGAGCGAGCACCACUCGUGGGGUUAAAACCCCAAGAACUGCAUUGGAGCAGCAGCACAAGGCGCAGAAGCUGCAGCAAGAAGAACAGCACCGAGAACAAGAAGUGCACUUCCCCUCCCUCUCUCUCGCUUCUACUCCCUAGUAGCACGAGCAGCCAGGAAGCUACAGGCAAGAAGCAGCAGCAGCAGCAGAGGCAGCUUGCUCGCCACCGGCGGCGGCGGGCGGAUCUGCCGUGGAGCCACGGCCGGGUCCUCCGGAGCCGGGAGCAGCCGUUCCGGAGCCCGUGGCGGCGAGAUCUGAGGCGCCGCUGCCUUCUCGCAAUCGGGAGGCGCGCUUCUUUGCCUAGCUCCCGCGGCCGCAAAGGCGGCGCAUUCCCGCCGCCGCCGCCGCCUGCUCCCGAAGGCCUCCCGGAGGCGGGGCUGGGGCGCUUGGAUCGAGAGGCUCGAAAAUUCGGAGUUCCCGGAUCGAAAAGGACCGCGCGUUCGGGCCGGGUGCGGCGGAGCGGAGGCAAGAGGUUUGGCUUGGCCGGUUUGGGGGAGGAGACAGCGAUGGUGAUGCUGUUUGGAAGCGCUCGUGAUUUGGUGUAG